UGCUAGGAGAGAUAACAGGAAAUUUGAA
rnacentral:sRNA from 1 species